AACGAACGCUGGCGGCAUGCCUAACACAUGCAAGUCGAACGAUGCCUUCGGGCAUAGUGGCGCACGGGUGCGUACCGCGUGGAAUGUGCCUUUUGGUUCGGAAUCACUUAGGGAAACUUGAGCUAAUACCGGCUAACGUCGCAAGACCAUAGAUUGAUCACCGAAAGAUGAGCCCGCGGAGGCUUAGCUGGUUGGUGGGGUAAAGGCCCACCAAGGCGACGUUUCUUGGCUGGUUUGAGAGGAGGAUCAACCACGCUGGGACUGAGACACGGCCCAGACUCCGACGCGAGGGAGCAGUGUGGAAUAUUGGACGAGGGGGGAAAGCCUGACCCAGCAACGCGGGGGGAGUGAUGAAGGGCGUAGGGUUGUAAAGCUCUUUUACCCGGGAAGAGAAUGACGGUACCGGGUGAAGAAGCCCCGGCUAACUCCGUG
rnacentral:rRNA from 1 species